rnacentral:rRNA from 1 species
AUAUCAAUAAGCGGAGGAAAAGAAACCAACAGGGAUUACCUCAGUAACGGCGAGUGAAGCGGUAACAGCUCAAAUUUGAAAUCUGGCCUCACGGUCCGAGUUGUAAUUUGUAGAGGAUGUUUCGAGCAUGGUCUGGCCUAAGUUCCUUGGAACAGGACGUCAUAGAGGGUGAGAAUCCCGUAUGCGGUCAGGUGCCUACGCUCAUGUGAAGCUCCUUCGACGAGUCGAGUUGUUUGGGAAUGCAGCUCAAAAUGGGUGGUAAAUUUCAUCUAAAGCUAAAUAUUGGCCAGAGACCGAUAGCGCACAAGUAGAGUGAUCGAAAGAUGAAAAGCACUUUGGAAAGAGAGUUAAACAGUACGUGAAAUUGUUGAAAGGGAAGCGCUUGCAACCAGACUUGCGCGCGGCUGAUCAUCCGGUGUUCUCACCGGUGCACUCGGUCGCGCUCAGGCCAGCAUCGGUUUCGGUGGUGGGAUAAAGGCCCUGGGAAUGUAGCUCCUCUCGGGGAGUGUUAUAGCCCAGGGUGCAAUGCCGCCUACCGGGACCGAGGACCGCGCUUCGGCUAGGAUGCUGGCGUAAUGGUUGUAAGCGA